UUUGCCACACAAACACGGGAGCAGUUCCAGGAGUUCCAGCGCUAAAUAAGGUGAAUACUGGGCCGGGACAACUAGCAUCACAUCGUCAACAGCAGCAGCGAUAAUAUAAUUCUGGUGAGAAAAAAACAAUCGUUCAGUUCCUCACCCACGAGUGCGACCACAGACACCAGCGGCUACCGAUCAUAUCGCCACCACUACCAAAUCCAACUUCAGCCGGAAGCAUUACCUCUCAUCACUACCCGUUUUCCGAUGAAUAAGCUCAUAACUCCGGGUGCCGCAGUGAAAACGGACUUCCGACAUUCCAUCAAACCGUUGCCAGUGGAAACAGUCGAACGAAAUUCUGCGAAUGAGACGGCUCUAACAGGAACAACAAUCUUUGCAGGCACGGCUUCAGCGGUUAUCGUCGUCAUCGGACUCCCGGACCAAUGGGUCGGGACCGUGUGGGUCUGGUCGGGGUCCGUUUUCCGGAAAUCAGAAAAGGAAGAAUCCAUUUCCAGAAAUGACGAUGUCAGCAGACACAAAUGGAAGUUGAUCUGGUGGACAUUUUUUAACUGCUCAGUAAGAGCACUCCAAAAAAGUGCUGUCAAUCGAUGCCACAGUUGCGGCCAAGAAUCUUGAGCCAUGUUUUCACAUCAAUCUACACCAACAACUGAUCGUGAACCCAAUGCUAGAGGUUCCUACAGAACUACUACCAAGGCUCAGUAAAAAUUAGUCCUUCAUUCGAGUCUGGGUCUGCAUUCUUUUCACCAUCCGACCCGAAAAACCGUAGAAGGAUCUUGCAUGGAUUCGAGGUACAGUUAUCUGGACUGGCAAAGCCAAUGACGGUGACGAUUCUAUAAAAACGACUCCAGACUCGGAUCGGAUCGGCUCGAGUGUUUUAUUAUGAACCGUUCGAACGAAUUCUCAGCAACAGCCAAUACUCGCCCAUAAGCGAACAAAAUGCGCAAUUUCUGGCUGAAAUAUUUCGCAAACCAAACCUGCAAAAAAGGAGCUGGGAAACGUUCGGUGACCAAACGUACUGCUACCAGAAGCGGUGAUGUUUUUGAGGAUGAAUUCUGCAUAGCAAAACCUGAUCGAUCCCGUCAAGAACCUGGAACGAAUGGUCUACAACAAAGAUUCCGAAGGUUAUACUAUAUGAUCAGUGAUAUUCUUAGUUAUGAAAAAUUUAAAAAAAUAUAUAUAUAUAA